UCACAUCGGCAGGCUGGCUGGUCCCCAGACUGGGCUGGCCGGGGUUAGUAUCUCUUCGAAAGGCUCACCCUCCAGCAGGACUAGGAGC
rnacentral:pre_miRNA from 1 species